ACAAAAACAUGGUUUUUUGAGUAUUUUUAAAAGAUUUGACCUGGUCAAAGAAUAUUUAAAAAGCCGCGGUAUUUUGACCGUGGUAAGGGAGCAUAAAAAUUAGUUUUUUAAUUGAGGUUUGGUAUGAAUGGUUGAACGAAAAAAUUACUUUUUUAAUUUGAUUUUUUGAAAUUAAUUUUUUUGUUAAAAAGGUAAAAAUUUUAAAAGGGGCCAAAAGACCCCAUAGAUUUUUAAUAUAAAAAAAUUUUUUUUAUUUUUUUAGAUUUUUUUUAUAUUUUUGUUGGGGGGAUAAAUAAAAUUUUAAACUUUUUUUUUUUUUUACAUUUAUAUUUGGUUAUUUGAUCUUUUUUUUUGAUUACAAGAUGAAGAUACCUUAGGGAUAACAGCGUUAUAUAUUUGGAGAGUUCUUAUCAAUAAAUAUGAUUGCGACCUCGAUGUUGGAUUAAAAUUAAUUGUGGGGUAGUUUUUACAAUU
rnacentral:rRNA from 1 species